rnacentral:misc_RNA from 1 species
GAUGAAGAACGUAGCGAAAUGCGAUACUUGGUGUGAAUUGCAGAAUCCCGUGAACCAUCGAGUCUUUGAACGCAAGUUGCGCCCGAAGCCAUUAGGCCGAGGGCACGCCUGCCUGGGCGUCACACGUCGUUGCCCCCCUAUCUACUCCUUCGGGAUUGCGGGGGGCGGAUGAUGGCCUCCCGUGCGCCUCGUCGCGCGGUUGGCAUAAAUGCCAAGUCCUCGGCGACGCACGCCACGACAAUCGGUGGUUGCGAAACCUCGGUUGCCCGUCGUGUGCGGUCGUCGCGCAUCGAGGGCUCGAAAAAAUUGCCGGGCUCCGGCUCGGCUUUCAACGCGACCCCAGGUCAGGCGGGGUUACCCGCUGAAUUUAAGCAUAUCAAUAAGCGGAGGA